GCAUUCGAUACGGGCGAGCUUGAGUAUGGUAGGGGAGUCUGGAAUUCCUGGUGUAGCGGUGGAAUGCGCAGAUAUCAGGAGGAACACCAAUGGCGAAGGCAGGACUCUGGGCCAUUACUGACACUGAGGAGCGAAAGCGUGGGGAGCGAACAGGAUUAGAUACCCUGGUAGUCCACGCCGUAAACGGUGGGCACUAGUUGUGGGGACCUUCCACGGUCUCUGCGACGCAGCUAACGCAUUAAGUGCCCCGCCUGGGGAGUACGAUCGCAAGAUUAAAACUCAAAGGAAUUGACGGGGCCCCGCACAAGCAGCGGAGCAUGCGGCUUAAUUCGACGCAACGCGAAGAACCUUACCAAGGCUUGACAUAUACAGGAAUAUGGCAGAGAUGUCAUAGCCGCAAGGUCUGUAUACAGGUGGUGCAUGGUUGUCGUCAGCUCGUGUCGUGAGAUGUUGGGUUAAGUCCCGCAACGAGCGCAACCCUCGUUCUGUGUUGCCAGCAUUAAGUUGGGGACUCACAGGAGACUGCCGGGGUUAACUCGGAGGAAGGUGGGGAUGACGUCAAAUCAUCAUGCCCCUUAUGUCUUGGGCUGCACGCAUGCUACAAUGGCUGGUACAAACGGCUGCGAUACCGCAAGGUGGAGCGAAUCCGAUAAAGCCAGUCUCAGUUCGGAUUGGGGUCUGCAACUCGACCCCAUGAAGUCGGAGUUGCUAGUAAUCGUAGAUCAGCAACGCUACGGUGAAUACGUUCCCGGGGCUUGUACACACCGCCCGUCACGUCACGAAAGUCGGUAACACCCGAAGUCAGUGGCCCAACCGCAAGGAGGGAGCUGCCGAAGGUGGGAUCGGUGAUUGGGACGAAGUCGUAACAAGGUAACCGUA
rnacentral:rRNA from 1 species